GAUGAACGCUGGCGGCGUGCCUAAUACAUGCAAGUCGAGCGAACAGACGAGGAGCUUGCUCCUCUGACGUUAGCGGCGGACGGGUGAGUAACACGUGGAUAACCUACCUAUAAGACUGGGAUAACUUCGGGAAACCGGAGCUAAUACCGGAUAAUAUAUUGAACCGCAUGGUUCAAUAGUGAAAGACGGUUUUGCUGGCACGUAUAGAUGGAUCCGCGCCGCAUUAGCUAGUUGGUAAGGUAACGGCUUACCAAGGCGACGAUGCGUAGCCGACCGGAGAGAGUGAUCGCCCACCCUGGAAGUUGGACACGCUCCUGGCUCCUGCGGGAGGCACCAGUCGCCAAUCUUCCGCAAUGGGCGAGAGCCUUGCGGAGCGGCGCCGCGUGAGUGAUGACGGUCUUCGGAUCGUAAUACUCUGUUAUUAGUGAAGAACAACUUCGUAAGUAACUAUGCACGUCUUGACGGUACCUAAUCAGAAAGCCACGGCUAACUACGUG
rnacentral:rRNA from 1 species